rnacentral:rRNA from 1 species
UACGGAGGAUGCAAGCGUUAUCCGGAAUGAUUGGGCGUAAAGCGUCCGCAGGUGGCUGUGUAAGUCUGCUGUCAAAGAGCAAAGCUCAACUUUGUAAAGGCAGUGGAAACUACACGGCUAGAGUGCGUUCGGGGCAGAGGGAAUUCCUGGUGUAGCGGUGAAAUGCGUAGAGAUCAGGAAGAACACCGGUGGCGAAGGCGCUCUGCUAGGCCGCAACUGACACUGAGGGACGAAAGUGUGGGGAUCAAACAGG